AUUGGUGGGCAGCGUAUGCUCCCGCGUCGACAGCUCUGUUUCGCCUUCUGGUCCCCGUAGCUCUGCAGGGGAACAGGAUCGCUGGCGCCUCCUGGGCCGAUAAGCGACCCGGGGCUGCCCGGCUUAGCGAGUGCUUCGCAAGAUCGCCCAGCGAGGGGUAGCCGAGUCGAGGCAGCGCGGUUCCCAAGGCAGCCACGGCUGCGCCCAUCCUCCAGUUCGGACCUCUGGGCAGCCGCGGUUGCUUUCAGUCUCUGCUCCUUGAGACAAAAGAGCGUGACAAGCCGCGCGACGCGGCCAAUCAGCGGGGCGAGGGGGCGGCCUCCCCAAGCAGCCUCUGGCCCCGACGCUACUGCUAGCAAGACUCGGGAGCUGGCGGGCGGGAGCUGAGGCUGACAGGCACGGGAGCCGGCGCGGCGUCAAGUGGAGCUCGGACGCACGGACCAGGCCCAUUUCCCUUUCAGCUGUCGUAGAUCUAGCAGUGAGAACUUCUCACUGAAUGCCACAGAAAUUAAAGACACAGUUGUUGGAGGUAUGGUGUCAGACAGCAUUUGUCACCAAGGUUGGCAGAAAAUGGCUGGUCCAGGAGAGCUGAAGAUGAAUUUCCACAUCUGCAGAUCGGGAUGUGUUGGGACAGUACUCAACUUGUGGAUUCAAGGAAGUAUGAACACAGAGUCUGCAUAAGGAAAGGAAAAAGAUGCAUUUAUCUCCCAAGUACGCUGGUGAUUUCCACUUAUGACAUUCUGUCCAUCCAUGUCCCUUUCUUCAUUUUAACUUCUUAUUUAAAAAUAAUUUCAAACAUUUAAAAAUGUUGCAAGCAUAAAUAAAGCUUAAAGAACACCCAUGUACCCUUUACCCAAAUUCCCCUAUUAUUAACGUUUUUCCCCAUUUGCUUUAUUAUGUAAGUGUGCACUCUGUCUAUACACACACAGAAUAUUUUUUCCCUGAACUAUCUGUGAAUUGCAUACAUCAAUUUUCAAUAUUCCUCGCUUCAAUGUUUGUAGAUCCGAAUUCUUUUAAAAAAGGCUGUGUUUUAUCUCUAUGACAAUGGGACCGUUAUUACAGAAUAUUAUAAAAUGAAAACUCACAUGGUAUAUGUGAUGUUGUGAAAUAUAUAUUUGCUCUUCAAUCCUGUUUCCUGGCAUACGACUCCUAACAUCCUUAGAAUUUCCAAAGUGAUAUCUUUUUGUAUGCUAAUAAUUGACUGAUGGCUGGCAGCCUCUGGUUGCUUCAGGAUGGGAACUGGUCACCAGAAAGACUAAGGCACCAUUAGAGGGUUGGGACUUAACAGCCUCAUUCCCAACCUCCAGGGAGGGGAGAGGGGUGGAAGAUUAAGUUGAUCGCCAGUGGCCAAUGAUUUAAUCAAUCAUACCUGUGUAAUGGAGCUUCUAUAAAAUCCCCAAGGGACUGGGUUUGGAGAGCUUCCAUAUAGCUGAAUAUAUGGAGGUUCCUGGAGGGUGGUGACCCAAGGAGGGCAUGGAAGCUCUGAGCCCCUUCCCCAGUACCUCACCCUAUGCAUCUCUUCAUCUCUGUCCUUUGCAAUAUCCUUUAUAAUAAACUGGUCAACGUUAGGUAUUUCCCUGAGUUCUGUGAGCCUUUCUGACAAAUUAAUCAAACCCAAAGAGGAUGUCAUGUGAACCCAAACUUGAAGCCCAUCUGUCAGAAGUUCUGGAGGCCUGGAUUUGCGACUGGUGUCUGAAGGGCCUGGGAACAGUCUUGUGAGACCUAGUCCUCAGCUUGUGGGAUAGGAUGCUAUCUCCAGGUAGAUUUGUGUCAGAAUUGAAUUGGAGUACACCCAGCUUGUGUUUGCUGCAGAACUGAUUGCUCACUUAGUGUGUGGGAAAACUCCACACAUUUGAACAUGGAAAUAUUCUUUGUUGAUUGCCAUGAUGUGAGAGCAAAGGAAAAAGUUUGUGUGUUUUCCCCUCAGAGCAUAUUUUAAAGCUAAAUUGCUAAUAAUUGCUUAAAUUUACUAUAUUUGCCUUUAUAAAAACUUUACAUUAUGUAUGUUCAAAGCUUGAAGCUAUUCAAUUAUAAUAUAAACGUUAUAUUAUAUUUACAACUGCAGCAUGUUAUAAUUUAAAUAAUUGAGUUAUACAAAUUGAUUCAUAUAAAAUCCUAGGCAAUAUUGUAAAAUUUUACAGACUUGUCAACUUUUCCCACUUAAAUCUUCUGAGCAAAAUUUAAGGGUGUAGUAGUUUUCAAGUAAUUUCAAAUGUCAAUAUUAAUGUUUAGUUUUGUGAUGUUUAUGUGGGCAUAUUUUCUGAUAUUAAAAAAAUGACUUUUAGGACUUGAGAUCAAUAAAAUAAGGAGGUAAUAAAUACCUACAUCUGUUUAAAGACAUAAAAUAUACAAUUUAACACUAAAGCUACUUGGUAUAAAAAGUCAAAAGAAAAAGAAUAAAAAGCCAUCCCAAAACACAAUAUAUGCAUGAUAUAUAUUUUUGUCUAAAUGUAAACUACAUCAGCUUUUCUAGAGCUCAAGUUGAAAUAAUAAAUAACUAAUGUUUUAUGACAAAUUAUUACAUGGUUUAUUUAGACUUAAUUUUGCUUUUACAACUUAUUUUUAAACAUUAAAUAGCAUUAUAAUUUUACUGGGAUAACGACAUAUAGUGUAGUACAUUAAAGUUAUAUAUAAAAUAAUGUUGCAUAUGAGAGAAAAAGCAUAAUAAAUCAGAAACUAUAUAAAGCUUUCAUAAAAUAAUAGGAUAAAAAUACUGUAUUUCUCUAGUCUGUUCACUCUCCAGUGUCCCUGGUUCUUUCAUAUCAUCUUUCUUCCCUCAAAUCUUUUAAUAUACCCUCCCUCAUCAUUUCCAACUAGUGACCUUGCUUUCUAUUUCUUUAAGAAAAGAGAUACACUCAGACGAGAAUUGCCAGUUUAAAGAACACUUAUAAAGCUAUCACCCAUGUAAUAACCAGCCCGGGCAAGAAAUAGAGCCCUUUAAUAACCUACUCCUCUCCCUACUCCAAUGAUGAUAUCCCUCCUUCCAUCUUAGGGGUAGCCCCCAUGCUGACUUUUGUGAUAAUCAUUUCUUUGCUUUUGUUUAUAGAUUUUCUUCCUUAUAAGCAUCCCUAACCAACAGUUUUGUUUUACAUAUGUUUGAACAUUAUAUGCUUUAUAAACUUGGAAUUGUGACUAUCUUGUUUCACUCCACAUUGCUUGUGAGACUCAUCGAUAUUGCAGAUAGCUGUAGUUGAUCCAUUUUUAUUGUUGUACAGUUUACCAUUGUACCAUAAUUUAUUCAUGAUAAGUUUGAGGGUCAUUCUGGUUGUUUGCAGGGUUUUCUUUUUUUUUUUUUUUUACAGUUUAUUAGUUUUAUUGAUGCAUAACAAUUGUAUAUGUUUCUGGGGUACAUUUGAUAUUUUGAUACAUGCGUACAAUAUGUAAUGAUCAAAUCAAGGUAAUUGGGAUAUCCAUCAGCUCAAAUUUAUCAUUUCUUUGUGUGAGAAACAUUCUAAAUCUCUUCUAGCUAUUUUGAAAUACACAAUAAAUUGAAUGCUGUGGUCA